AUGUAUAAUCUUUUUGCUAAUUCAUCAUUAGAAUUCUAAUAAUUCUAGUAACUAAUAAAAAUUUUUGCUAAUUCAUCACUAGAAUUCUCCACAAUGUUCAUUCCUUUUGUACCUUAACAUUAUAACCCUCGUGGUAAAUGUCGCAUCCAGAUCUAGAUGUAGAUAUAGACUUUCCAAAGGUACAGCAAAUGUAUUUUAAAAUUAGAUGUAAAUGAAUGAAGGGUAAACGGUUGAGUUUGCACUGAUUCUAUUGUCGAGUGGUGGCGCCAUUGAG